GAUUAGAUACCCUGGUAGUCCACGCCGUAAACGAUGUCGACUUGGAGGUCGUUCCCUUGAGGAGUGGCUUCCGGAGCUAACGCGUUAAGUCGACCGCCUGGGGAGUACGGCCGCAAGGUUAAAACUCAAAUGAAUUGACGGGGGCCCGCACAAGCGGUGGAGCAUGUGGUUUAAUUCGAUGCAACGCGAAGAACCUUACCUACUCUUGACAUCCACGGAAUUCGGCAGAGAUGCCUUAGUGCCUUCGGGAACCGUGAGACAGGUGCUGCAUGGCUGUCGUCAGCUCGUGUUGUGAAAUGUUGGGUUAAGUCCCGCAACGAGCGCAACCCUUAUCCUUUGUUGCCAGCGAUUCGGUCGGGAACUCAAAGGAGACUGCCGGUGAUAAACCGGAGGAAGGUGGGGAUGACGUCAAGUCAUCAUGGCCCUUACGAGUAGGGCUACACACGUGCUACAAUGGCGCAUACAAAGAGAAGCGACCUCGCGAGAGCAAGCGGACCUCAUAAAGUGCGUCGUAGUCCGGAUCGGAGUCUGCAACUCGACUCCGUGAAGUCGGAAUCGCUAGUAAUCGUGGAUCAGAAUGCCACGGUGAAUACGUUCCCGGGCCUUGUACACACCGCCCGUCACACCAUGGGAGUGGGUUGCAAAAGAAGUAGGUAGCUUAACCUUCGGGAGGGCGCUUACCACUUUGUGAUUCAUGACUGGGGUGAAGUCGUAACAAGG
rnacentral:rRNA from 1 species